AUCUUCGGCAAUGGACGAAAGUCUGACCGAGCAACGCCGCGUGUGCGAUGAAGGCCUUCGGGUUGUAAAGCACUGUCGAGGGGAAACAAGCCGUAAGGUUGAGUGACCCCUGGAGGAAGCACGGGCUAAGUUCGUGCCAGCAGCCGCGGUAAGACGAACCGUGCAAACGUUAUUCGGAAUCACUGGGCUUAAAGGGCGCGUAGGCGGGUGAUCAAGUCAAUGGUGAAAUCCUCCAGCUUAACUGGAGAAGUGCCUUUGAUACUGAUUGUCUAGAGGGAGGUAGGGGCAUGUGGAACUUCAGGUGGAGCGGUGAAAUGCGUAGAUAUCUGAAGGAACGCCAGUGGCGAAAGCGAUGUGCUGGACCUCUUCUGACGCUGAGGCGCGAAAGCUAGGGGAUCAAACGGGAUUAGAUACCCCGGUAGUCCUAGCCCUAAACUAUGGGUACUAGAUUGUGGACUUUCAUGGGUUCACAGUCGAAGCAAAAGUGUUAAGUACCCCGCCUGGGGAGUAUGGUCGCAAGGCUGAAACUCAAAGGAA
rnacentral:rRNA from 1 species